CAUAAAAAAACAUUCUCAAUGAACGAACAAUUUUAAUACAAUUUAAUAGUGCAAUCGUGAACGAACUGUAGUCAAUUUUUUUUUUUUUUUAGGAUUUGCGUGGUAAUAACAUAUUUUACUAGACAAAUCAAAUAUAUAAAUGUAGCAUCUAGUUACACAAUUUAUUAUACAAAUGAUACAUCUCAUUGGAUCCAGCAGCUACCAUCAUCACAUUGUAACACGCCUAACAAGGAUGUUUACAUCAUGGGAGAGAGAAAUAAAAAAACAUGACUGACAAUUAUAUUAAGUAUAAAACGUGACGCAUGAGUACUUGCAUGGUAUAUAAAGGAAUUAAAGGGUUACUCCAAGCAUUAACUCAAUGAUUUGACGUGCUCAUGGUUUUGGGGUGUGUAUGUGCAGCGUUUAAAUUUGAAGCGCUGCACAUACAGGGUUCAAGUCCAUUCCUGAUGGAGGUGUAACUAUCUCUAGCAGCAUUGAUUGUUUCUUUUCAUGCCUUUCACCAUUUGCACCUUAUCACGUGUUCAAAUUUUGUUGAUUGUCAAUGUCAUUGAUUGUAUCCAAUAGACCAGUGCACUAUUAGACAAAUCAGCUUGGUUAAACCAUUUUUUCCCAAAAUAGAAAUUUUGUUUAGGAAUGUAGGUUCAGAUUUCCAGAAUUUUGGUACCAAGAUUCGGAUUUGGAAGCCAAUCAGAAGAACAAAAAAAAAACAGAGUAAACAUGGGCCAAUCAUUGUACUGGAAAAUAAAUACAUAAUAUAGAGGAUGUAUUUUGCACUUUCAUGCUAUCUGGUUCACAAAUUAAGUGAGAAUAAGUUAAAUGUAUAAUAUAUAAAUAUACAUUCUUUUAACUGUCUCCUUCCUCCUUUUUUUCCAUAUCUCACCUGCAUUUUUGGCACCACAAACAGAAUUUAGAUUUACAACCCCAAAUAUAUUUGGAAUUGCACAUUUUUUUGUUUUUUUGUGUAAUUUGGGUAUAUUUCAGCUCUGAGUUCAGGUAUUUGGCCCAAUUAAUCCAAAUUGCAGUUCAGCCUGAAACAAAAUCUCCAAGUCUAGUAUUUAAUUUUAAAAAAUGGAAAAUGUUUAAAACCAAGUAAUUUGCAUACAUACAUAUUUAAGGGUGUUUAACCAUUUUUAUAUAUCUUCCUGAAUAAAGCAAAUUCAAUUAUUUUGCUCUGG